rnacentral:lncRNA from 1 species
CUUGGAGGCUAGAGGGCACUGGAGGCUGCAGGAAGCCUCUUGUGUGACGGCCUUGAUCCCCUUCACUGGGAGGAGACCUGGAGCUAGUCAUCUUCCAACACUAUCACGUCGGCAACGCCUGGGUCUUGGAGGGGACACAUUCGAACCUCAGCCAGGUACAAGCAGGCAGGAGCAGGGAGGCCCUGACGGGGCAGGACGGUGACACCUCCUCUCCACACCUCCGCAGCGGAAGAUCGUGCCUCCUGGUGGGGAUGAUUAUUGAUUAAAGCAUCUGAAUUCAAUCAGAA